AUUUCUUCCUUUCUCGUCCGUUCCCAUCAUCUAGGUUUAAUUUAUCUAACACUUCUUUAUUCCCAUUGUUCCCUAAAUCCCUAAAUCCAUAAGUUCUCCAUUCAAACUCUCUUAUCUGCUCAUUCCCUAAAUCCCUAAACAACUUUGGUGAGUUUCGCAGGUGGGAUGCUGGCGAUGCUCAACGAGCCCCAUCUCUCGCUUAAGCUUCAUGCGCACUCCAACCUCAACAAAUUGGUCGACACCUUCUGGCCGAGAUCUCCACUAGUCGGCCUAAGAUAGUGGAGACAAUUUGUGUGCAGUUGUGAUUUGCUUCCAGCA
rnacentral:sRNA from 1 species